GAUGAACGCUGGCGGCGUGCCUAAUACAUGCAAGUCGAGCGAACGGACGAGGAGCUUGCUCUUCUGAUGUUAGCGGCGGACGGGUGAGUAACACGUGGAUAACCUACCUAUAAGACUGGGAUAACUUCGGGAAACCGGAGCUAAUACCGGAUAAUAUUUUGAACCGCAUGGUUCAAUAGUGAAAGACGGUUUUGCUGUCACUUAUAGAUGGAUCCGCGCUGCAUUAGCUAGUUGGUAAGGUAACGGCUUACCAAGGCAACGAUGCAUAGCCGACCUGAGAGGGUGAUCGGCCACACUGGAACUGAGACACGGUCCAGACUCCUACGGGAGGCAGCAGUAGGGAAUCUUCCGCAAUGGGCGAAAGCCUGACGGAGCAACGCCGCGUGAGUGAUGAAGGUCUUCGGAUCGUAAAACUCUGUUAUUAGGGAAGAACAAAUGUGUAAGUAACUGUGCACAUCUUGACGGUACCUAAUCAGAAAGCCACGGCUAACUACGUG
rnacentral:rRNA from 1 species